AGAAUUGUUCAAAAUCUGAGAAAAUGACAUUAAUUGCUAACUCACGUCACUUUCAUGCACUGUAGGUUUGAAAAUUUUGAAAAAAUAGGCUACGUUUGUGCGUUAUAAAAUAUCAAUAAGCAGGCAAAAAAUUUCCUAUUUAUGUAUAUUGUGAACAAAAAAUAUUUUAAAGCCAAUGGAGUAACAAGCCUCCCAUAAACCCUAGCCGCCUGCAUAAGCCUCGGGGUAUUUUCA
rnacentral:lncRNA from 1 species